rnacentral:rRNA from 1 species
UACGUAGGGGGCUAGCGUUGUCCGGAUUUAUUGGGCGUAAAGAGCGCGUAGGCGGCCGAGUAAGUCCGACGUGAAAUCUGGAGGCUCAACCUCCAGCGGUCGUUGGAAACUACUCGGCUAGAGUCCGGAAGAGGAGAGUGGAAUUCCUGGUGUAGCGGUGAAAUGCGCAGAUAUCAGGAAGAACACCGAUGGCGAAAGCAGCUCUCUGGGACGGUACUGACGCUGAGGUGCGAAAGCGUGGGGAGCAAACAGG